GUUACUGCUAUCGGAGUUCGAUUAAGCCAUGCGAGUCUAAAGGUUUCUUCGGAAACCUUGGCAGACUGCUCAGUAACAUGUGGAUAACCUACCCUUAGGACUGGGAUAACCCCGGGAAACUGGGGAUAAUACCGGAUAGAUCAAGGAUCGCUGGAAUGCGCCUUGAUCCAAAGCUCCGGCGCCUAAGGAUGGGUCUGCGGCCUAUCAGGUUGUAGUGGGUGUAACGUACCUACUAGCCGACGACGGGUACGGGUUGUGAGAGCAAGAGCCCGGAGAUGGAUUCUGAGACACGAAUCCAGGCCCUACGGGGUGCAGCAGGCGCGAAACCUUUACAAUGUGCGAAAGCAUGAUAAGGGAACUCCGAGUGCCAACAUCUAAUGUUGGCUGUCCUUGUGCCUAAAACGCACGAGAUAGCAAGGGCCGGGUAAGACCGGUGCCAGCCGCCGCGGUAACACCGGCGGCCCGAGUGGUAGCCGCUAUUAUUGGGUCUAAAGGGUCCGUAGCCGGUUCGGUAAGUCCUCUGGGAAAUCUGAUUGCUUAACAAUCAGGCUGCCAAGGGAUACUGCCGAACUUGAGACCGGGAGAGGUAAGAGGUACUUCAGGGGUAGGAGUGAAAUCUUGUAAUCCCUGGGGGACCGUCUGUGGCGAAGGCGUCUUACCAGAACGGGUCUGACGGUGAGGGACGAAAGCUGGGGGCGCGAACCGGAUUAGAUACCCGGGUAGUCCCAGCCGUAAACGAUGCUCGCUAUGUGUCAGGUAUGGUGCGACCGUAUCUGGUGCCGUAGGGAAGCCGUGAAGCGAGCCACCUGGGAAGUACGGCCGCAAGGCUGAAACUUAAAGGAAUUGGCGGGGGAGCACUACAACGGGUGGAGCCUGCGGUUU
rnacentral:rRNA from 1 species